GACGAACGCUGGCGGCGUGCUUAACACAUGCAAGUCGAACGGAAAGGCCCUGCUUUUGUGGGGUUCUCGAGUGGCGAACGGGUGAGUAACACGUGAGUAACCUGCCCUUGAUUUUGGGAUAACUUCAGGAAACUGGGGCUAAUACCGGAUAGGAGCUCCUGCUGCAUGGUGGGGGUUGGACAUUUUCGGCGGUUGUGGAUGGACUCGCGGCUUAUCAGCUUGUUGGUGGGGUAGUGGCUUACCAAGGCUUUGACGGGUAGCCGGCCUGAGAGGGUGACCGGCCACAUUGGGACUGGGAUACGGCCCAGACUCCUACGGGAGGCAGCAGUGGGGAAUAUUGCACAAUGGGCGGAAGCCUGAUGCAGCAACGCCGCGUGCGGGAUGACGGCCUUCGGGUUGUAAACCGCUUUCGCCUGUGACGAAGCGUGAGUGACGGUAAUGGGUAAAGAAGCACCGGCUAACUACGU
rnacentral:rRNA from 1 species